GUGCUUGCUUUGGCAGCACAUAUACUAAAAUUGGAAAGAUACAGAGAAGAGUAGCAUGGCCCCUGCGCAAGGAUGACAUGCAAACUUGUGAAGCGUUCCAUAUUUUU
ensembl:snRNA U6 U6 spliceosomal RNA